rnacentral:rRNA from 1 species
UACGUAGGGGGCAAGCGUUGUCCGGAUUUAUUGGGCGUAAAGAGCGUGUAGGCGGUUUGGUAGGUCCGCUGUGAAAACUCGAGGCUCAACCUCGAGACGCCGGUGGAAACCAUCAGGCUAGAGUCCGGAAGAGGAGAGUGGAAUUCCUGGUGUAGCGGUGAAAUGCGCAGAUAUCAGGAAGAACACCCGUGGCUAAGGCGGCUCUCUAGUACGGUACUGACGCUGAGACGCGAAAGCGUGGGGAGCAAACGGG